AGUGAACGCUGGCGGUAGGCCUAACACAUGCAAGUCGAACGGCAGCACAGUAAGAGCUUGCUCUUACGGGUGGCGAGUGGCGUACGGGUGAGGUAUACUUCGGAAUCUACUUUUUCGUUGGGGAUAACGUAGGGAAACUUACGCUAAUACCGCAUACGUCCUACGUGUGUAAUCAGUGGAUCUUCGGACCUUGCGCUUUUCAUUGUUCCGAUGUCGGAUUUGCUAGUUGGCGGGGUAAAGGCCCACCAAGGCGACGAUCCGUAGCUGGUCUGAGAGGAUGAUAAGCCACACUGGAACUGAGACACGGUCCAGACUACUACGGGAGGAAGCAGUGGGGAAUAUUGGACAAUGGGCGAAAGCCUGAUCCAGCCAUACCGCGUGGGAGAAGAAGGACUUCGGGUUGUAAAGCCCUUUUGUUGGGAAAGAAAAGCAGCAGGUUAAUACCCCGCUGUUCUGACGGUACCCAAAGAAUAAGCACCGGCUAACUUCGUG
rnacentral:rRNA from 1 species